GCUUCUGUGAUGAGCCUUAACAUGUAAGAUGGAUGGGCGAUUGCCUUGGGUCUUCUGUAAAAUACUUUUGUUGUGCUUGGUUUCUGAGCAUC
rfam:Leersia perrieri chromosome 12, whole genome shotgun sequence.